rnacentral:lncRNA from 1 species
UCACUAAAAAGGGAUAGACAAAGGGGCAUCCACCAGCCCUAGAUUAAGAUAGGGCUGCCACUUAGUAGCAUGCCCUAAGGAUUGAGAAGGGCUCAAGAAAUCAUAAUCGUCUCAUGCUUUCAGCCAUAUAGACUUCAGAUAAGGGUGUUCCAAAGGCGCUUUCCAUUUCAGAUCGGUGGAUUCUAUAAGGUCUGAGGACCAAGUGUACCAUGGUUAGGUGAUCGAGUGUGAGGUGUGUCAAGUUCUAAUGGGGUAACCCCUAGGCAAUAUUUUACGAAGUACUCACAAGUUUUGAGUAUUAUUUGUUUCCUAAGUUGCAAGUUCGGGUUCACUUUACAAUAAAUUUUAUUUGGCAGUAAGAUUGAAAGAUUUU